GACGAACGCUGGCGGCGUGCUUAACACAUGCAAGUCGAACGCUGAAGCCCUUUCGGGGUGGAUGAGUGGCGAACGGGUGAGUAACACGUGGGUAAUCUGCCCUGCACUCUGGGAUAAGCCUUGGAAACGGGGUCUAAUACCGGAUAGGACACAUCGCCGCAUGGUGUGUGUGUGGAAAGUUCCGGCGGUGCAGGUUGCGCCCGCGGCCUAUCAGCUUGUUGGUGGGGUGAUGGCCUACCAAGGCGACGACGGGUAGCCGGCCUGAGAGGGUGACCGGCCACACUGGGACUGAGACACGGCCCAGAGUCCUACGGGAGGCAGCAGUGGGGAAUCUGGCGCAAUGGGCGAAAGCCUGACGCAGCAACGCCGCGUGGGGGAUGACGGCCUUCGGGUUGUAAACCUCUUUCGACCGGGACGAAGGGUGACUGACGGUACCGGUAGAAGAAGCACCGGCUAACUACGUGCCAGCCGCCGCCGUAA
rnacentral:rRNA from 1 species